ensembl:snRNA U2 U2 spliceosomal RNA
AUUGCUUCUCAGCCUUUUCACUAAGAUCCAGUGUAGUAGAUGUUCUCACCAGUUUAGUAUCUGAUACAUUCUGUAUCCGAGGACAGUAUAUGGAGUAGAGUUUUGGAGCUGGGACAUGGAACUGGGGCUUGCUCUGUCCGCUGCAUAAAUUGAGUUCGUAUUGUAGUGCCUCCAGGAAUGGUGCUCUUCCU